AUUGAACGCUGGCGGCAUGCUUUACACAUGCAAGUCGAACGGUAACAGGUUAAGCUGACGAGUGGCGAACGGGUGAGUAAUGCAUCGGAACGUGCCCGAUCGUGGGGGAUAACGCAGCGAAAGCUGCGCUAAUACCGCAUAUGAUCUGAGGAUGAAAGCGGGGGACCGUAAGGCCUCGCGCGAUCGGAGCGGCCGAUGUCAGAUUAGGUAGUUGGUGGGGUAAAGGCUCACCAAGCCAACGAUCUGUAGCUGGUCUGAGAGGACGACCAGCCACACUGGGACUGAGACACGGCCCAGACUCCUACGGGAGGCAGCAGUGGGGAAUUUUGGACAAUGGGCGAUAGCCUGAUCCAGCAAUGCCGCGUGCAGGAAGAAGGCCUUCGGGUUGUAAACUGCUUUUGUACGGAGCGAAAAGGUCCCCUCUAAUACAGGGGGCUCAUGACGGUACCGUAAGAAUAAGCACCGGCUAACUACGUGCCAGCCGCCGCGGUAA
rnacentral:rRNA from 1 species